rnacentral:lncRNA from 1 species
ACUGUUGCGGGAUUUUCACCCCGGCAACAGCCUUAGUCCCAACCGAGCCGAGCAGAAAGAGACCGCGUCCCCCACGAGGUAUUGUCCGCUUUGGGCGCUCCGGUCCGCGCGUCCAGCGCUGACGGAGGGAGACGUUUCUGGCCCGCGCGUCCAGCGCUGACGGGGGGAUUGCCCUCACGGUUUUGUCCCACAAAAGGGCCCUCGUGAGGAAAAGGCUUCGCCCUCCUCAUUAUAAGGCACGGAACCUUUCCGCUCUAGCCGAUGUGGGACUAAAUUCAAGGCCCCCUCCCCCCCACAACAUAGCCCCCCCAGCGGGAAGGUUCCGGCCAGGUUUUACCCCAACGGGCCCCCACAGUCCUAGAGGGUAGUCAAUGGAGAGAGG